GGGGCCUUAGCUCAGCUGGGAGAGCACCUGCUUUGCACGCAGGGGGUCAGCGGUUCGAUCCCGCUAGGCUCCACCA
rnacentral:tRNA from 1 species